rnacentral:rRNA from 1 species
GUUUCAAGCAGGCAGUCGCUCUUGCAUGGAUUAGCAUGGGAUAAUGAAAUAGGACUCUGGUGCUAUUUUGUUGGUUUCGAGCACCGGAGUAAUGAUUAACAGGGACAGUCAGGGGCACUCGUAUUCCGCCGAGAGAGGUGAAAUUCUCAGACCAGCGGAAGACGAACGACUGCGAAAGCAUUUGCCAGGGAUGUUUUCACUGAUCAAGAACGAAAGUUAGGGGAUCGAAGACGAUCAGAUACCGUCGUAGUCUUAACCAUAAACUAUGCC